CGCUCAGCCUUCUCCCCAGAGGCGAGCUUGUUGGCAUUACCCUCCCAUGAACACACCCAUCUUCCUCCCGCCCGGGCCCUCCCCCAAAGCAAACGCCCCUCCUGAUCCUGCAGGUUCCAAUCCUUCAUUUUGAAAUGAAUUCAAACUAAUUGAAUGAGACUUUUUGCAACGCACAGUAUCAAAAGCAAAGGCUGUCAGACUUGAAAUCUACCUUUUAGGAAUACAUGAGGCUGGCUAACCUUUCAGAGCUUCGAGGUACGUCUCAAUGGGUACUGGCCUACCUCCAAGAGCUUGAUGAUCCUCACAGUCCUCGGGAUCUGGACAGCUGGAUUUCCCAAGCAACUCCUGCUAUCUAACCCCAGACUAGCUGACUCCCUGGUGGAAAGAGAAGAGCAAGAGGAUUCUUGCUUUGUAAAGCUCCCCAGUAAAGCCUGUGAGCUUUGGUGGAAUUCAUUCCAAACCCUGUUGCCUGACAGGUGGGGAACACUGAAGGAAUUGAUUCAUCGUGUACAAGAACACUCCCCAGCUUCUGUGACACUGCUCUGCACGUUGCUGGAGUCACCUGGUCCAGAACCAAGCCUGUCCUUCAAUAAGAACGAUUUCACUCGGCCCUGGUGGGAACUGACCGGAGCGGGGGAGUAAGGCAACGCUUCCAGGAGCAGUCAGAGUCUGUGUCAGGAAAGCCCAGGUUUCCUUCUCCAGUAGCUUCUCCAUGGCGAUACCUACCUCCAGCCCUCCGCAAGCACUAAUUGUGUGUGGGAAACAGAAGGAUUUCUUCCAAGUUGUCUCCCCCAAAUAUAUGCCUAACUUAGCUGCUGGCUACACGUGGUUAAUGACUACACUUGGAGGUCAACAGAAGGAACUCAGAGGUUAUUCUCCCUAAGGCUUAUCAGCCAUCAAGAGAAAUCAGACUGUAUCUGUCUGUCCCACUCCCUUCUGAUAAAGAUAGUAGUUGACUGUUUCCUCGUAGGAGAAC